GACGAACGCUGGCGGCGUGCUUAACACAUGCAAGUCGAACGGAAAGGCCCUGCUUUUGUGGGGUGCUCGAGUGGCGAACGGGUGAGUAACACGUGAGUAACCUGCCCUUGACUUUGGGAUAACUUCAGGAAACUGGGGCUAAUACCGGAUAGGAGCUCCUGCUGCAUGGUGGGGGUUGGAAAGUUUCGGCGGUUGGGGAUGGACUCGCGGCUUAUCAGCUUGUUGGUGAGGUAGUGGCUUACCAAGGCUUUGACGGGUAGCCGGCCUGAGAGGGUGACCGGCCACAUUGGGACUGCGAUACGGACCAGACUCCUACGGGAGGCAGCAGUGGGGAAUAUUGCACAAUGGGCGGAAGCCUGAUGCAGCAACGCCGCGUGCGGGAUGACGGCCUUCGGGUUGUAAACCGAUUUCGACUGUGACGAAGCGUGAGUGACGGUAAUGGGUAAAGAAGCAACGGCUAACUACGUG
rnacentral:rRNA from 1 species